AAAAAGACAAACCCUAGAUUUCCGUGUCCAACGUUUGACUGUUCAUUUUAUAUGAUUUUUUUUUAUAAUUAGUAUUUUUAUUGUUGUUAGAUGAUUAAAACAUGAUUAAUACUUUAUGCGUGACUUAUCUUUUUAAUUUUUUUCAUAAUUUUUUUAAAUAAAACGGACGGUUAAACGUUGAACAUAGAAACCCAGGGUUUGUCUUUUU
rfam:Oryza rufipogon genomic scaffold, chr02